AUGGGGGGCUCGACGAACGUGAUGGAAUGGUGGCCUGCCAUCUUCAUGUUGUUGAUCCAAAUUUUCACGACAGGGUUAAUGUUGCUCACGAAGGUGGUGGUGGACAGUGGUUCACUUGCUUGGACCUUGCUCACGUACCGCUUCUUCCUUGGCGCCAUCUUGACCAUCCCCUUGGCGAUGUUCUUUGAGAAAGGGAGGUUGAAGGAGCUUAAACUGAAGGCGUUCAUAUGGAUUUUCACCAGUGCACUUGUGGGAUUCACAAUUCCUGGUUUCGCCUACAUUGGCCUUGGAGACACAUCGCCAGGAUACGCGGUUAACUUCUAUAACAUCAUACCGAUUGCCGCCUUCAUCCUCGCGGUCCUUUUCAGGAAGGAGCCACUGGACAUGAGGAGCCUGGUGGGGAACAUCAAGGUCAUUGGAACCCUAGUCUGUGUUGGAGGAACGCUGGUGAUCAGCCUGUACAAGGGCAAGGUGCUGCACCUUUGGCCCACAAAUAUCAUCGGCUACCACCCGAAGCAAGCCGGAGCUGCUUUUGGUCACCACCAUGUGCGUGGAACCAUCUUGCUCAUCACCAGCAGCCUCAGCCUCGCCGUUUGGUACACAGUACAGGCUCAGAUGCUAAAAGUGUUCCCAUACAAGUACUGGUCCACUGUCGCUACAUGCUUCGUGGGGAGCAUCCAAACGGCUGUCGUGGGGGUUGCCAUGAACAGAGAGAAGGCAACAUGGGCGCUCAAAUGGAACAUGAGCUUGCUCACCAUUGUGUACUCGGCAAUACUCAACACUGCUGCCAAGUUUGUGAUGAUUUCGUGGGUCGUCACGCAGCGUGGGCCAACCUAUCCGGCCAUGUUUUGCGCCGUGACGGUGUUCUUCACUACUAUUCUUGACUCGUUGCUUCUCGGCCAUGAUCUGUCCGUUGGGAGUGUUCUAGGCAUGUUCAUGAUUCUAGCUGGGCUCUAUCUUUUCCUUUGGGGAAAGAGAAAAGAAUCGGUACCUCCGAGUGAAGAAAAUCCAACGGAACAAAUGUUGUUUCAGAAUGGAGACAAGAAUGAUAAAUCAGUAGCUAAUGUAUGA
rnacentral:rRNA from 1 species